CUAAAAAUCAUUGAGAGGAUUUAAAAUCACAUUGUCGAAAUAGUACAUAUUGGAUGACCUAUUUGAUACAUUGUUCAUGCAAACCAGUGGAUUUCCCCUUUAAUAUGUUCCAAUGACAAUUGCAUUCUUACCUGUUUCAUGCGACUUCAGUUUUUGGACAUCAAUGGCCAAGCAAUAUGUAACUUUAACCUUGAUUCACGACUACAAGUUAUCAUUUGUGAGGCAGUUGCAGUAUUUUAAUUUCAUGGAGUUUUUAACAUUCCAUUAAUUGGAGACUCGAAAUCAUCCCUUAGUGUGAUUGAGUGCGACUGUUGUUUGUCUCUAUGUGCCCUGUGAUUAGCUGGCAACCAGUUCAGGUUGUACCUUGCCUCCUGCCUAAUGACUGCUAUGAUAGGCUGCAGAACUCCUGCGACCUUCAUAAGGAUAAGCGGCUCAGAAAAUGGAUGGAUGUUUAAGAACCUGCUUUCACAGGCUAUUUGGAUUCCUACAGCAGUGGAAGGUGGUGUGAAAAUGUGUCUUUCCAGUCCUGAUGGAGACCAGGGCUACCCUGGAGAGAUGCAGGUCUCUGUUACCUACACCUUGCAGAACCUACUGCUGCUCCUGCUUCCCCGACUCUCUGCGUGCACAGUCUGCCCCUGCUGGCAACAGGCCACCUCCUGCCAUGAAACACGAAAGAUGAGUCCUAGCCUCUCAAUCCCUACCUCAUGAUUCUCAUUUGGUGGCACAGUGGUGUAGCUGUGGAGCAUUGAUUUCACAGUUCUAAGGACUGGUGUUCAAAUCCCAGGGUCCCCCAUGUGAAGUUUGCAUGUUUUCCCUGUGUAUGCAUGGGUUUUCUCUGGGCACCCUGGUUUCCUCACACAUCCAAAACACAUGCAUUCAUUUGGCAUUCUAAUUUGCCCUUAUGUGUGGGGUGUGAUUGGGUGAGGUUAUGAGUGUGACUGUUGUCUGUCUCCAUGUGCCCUGUCACUUGCUGCUAGCCAGUUCAAGGUCUACCCUGCCUCAUGCCCGAUGAUAGCUGGGCUUGACUCCAGCACUCCUGCAGCUCAGAAAAGAUUGAAUUGAUUCUCAUUUGCUCUGACAUUCACUGUGACCUGUAAGGUCUUUUUUCAAGUUUGUGUCUUUCCUAAUAAAGUCCAUUCAGUAUGAUCAAACACAGCUGGAUUCCAAUCAAUGUGUAGGGUAAAGGUUUCACCACUGCACAUUGCACCUUUAAAGAGAGUGGAAGAAUGACAAGUUUUUGAAACCACAAUUUUCAAUAAUCUAAUUUGUAUCCCGAAACGAUUAACCAUUUUUAAUAUGCUACCCAGUGAUAUUUUUUUCUAUUCAGGAGAAAACAUUGGCUGUAGAGUAUGAAGCCCGGUGUUCCAAAACAACACCAGUCAACCUCACGAACCACUCCUAUUUCAACCUUGGUGGACAGGGCAAUUUAGAGUCUCCAAUCAAUGCACGUUUUUGGGAUGUGGGAGGAAACCAGAGUACACGGAGAAAACCCACGCAGGCAUGGGGAGAACAUGGAAACUCCACACAGGCAGGGCGGGGAUUUGACCCCCAGUCCUCAGAACUCUGAGGCCAAUGUGUUACAACUGUGACACUGUGCCGCCCCUGAGCAAAUUAUGUUACGUUAAAAUAUCAGGCACAUUUUUAGUAGUUGUUUAUGUGUCUUGUAAUGUG